rnacentral:sRNA from 1 species
GGAGCUUCAUGGUCGUUGUCUUAUCUUCCGUCACAAAUAACCUGGGGAAAAAAUUGGGCUUGAGCUGACAUUCUUCGUUGAUGAUGAAAUACAUGCACCCAGCGACCGAAACGAAGAAAUCGCUUGAGACGUCCGACGAUUGGAAACUCCCAGCUCUCGUCAACCGAAGUCGAGACAUUGCAACACUCGUUCUUGUUAUUCUACCAGCUUGACGUAUAUGAUGAUCCAAUUCUUGCACACCAGAGUGACAGUCUGAUAUAACCCCAUGCUGCAGAGGAGAAGGCAGAUUCCAAUACCAUUGAGCUUGCCUUGGGAGCACCAUCCUGUUCUCAAGAUGCGACGUGGAGUUGAAAAGAGAGCGUUUCUGGUUUCUUUGUUCGACAUGUCGACCUCAAAUUCCCAG